GACCCGAAAAGGCUACUCCAGAGAAAUCUGGAUGAGUACGCAAAACUAAAGGGGCUAAAGACAAAAGUCUAUGCUAGCCAGCUUACCGAU
rnacentral:ncRNA from 1 species